rnacentral:rRNA from 1 species
AACGAACGCUGGCGGCAGGCCUAACACAUGCAAGUCGAGCGAGAUCUUCGGGUCUAGCGGCGGACGGGUGCGUAACGCGUGGGAAUAUGCCUCUUGGUACGGAAUAGCCUCGGGAAACUGGGAGUAAUACCGUAUGUGCCCUUUGGGGGAAAGAUUUAUCGCCAAGAGAUUAGCCCGCGUUGGAUUAGGUAGUUGGUGGGGUAAUGGCCUACCAAGCCGACGAUCCAUAGCUGGUUUGAGAGGAUGAUCAGCCACACUGGGACUGAGACACGGCCCAGACUCCUACGGGAGGCAGCAGUGGGGAAUCUUAGACAAUGGGGGCAACCCUGAUCUAGCCAUGCCGCGUGAGUGAUGAAGGCCUUAGGGUUGUAAAGCUCUUUCAGCUGGGAAGAUAAUGACGGUACCAGCAGAAGAAGCCCCGGCUAACUCCGUG